UCACCAUAAGGGUGGUUGUGUGGCCACAGCCUUGUGGCCUGGUGACUUAGUUUUCCUGAGAAGCUGCAGUUGUGUUCCACACCUCCAUCUCACCAACUUGCCCUGCUUGCCUUGUUCUGGCAUUAAUGUCUAUGUGGCCAACUCUGUUUUUCACCUUUCUUUCUGCUCUUUCAGAAAACUGAUAAUGAAGCUGCAGGCAAAGAGUGCCUUUUCUCUUGGUGGUGCAUCCCUUUUUCUUCCCUUGCUGAUUUGGACAUCCUCAGGGAGAUGAAUUGUCGGAGAACUAACAAAACCACCACAACAAAACCCAAGUGAAUUUAAUUUACUUCGGGUUAACACUUGUAUGUUUGCAGGCUUGAUGAGUAACAAAGCCAGUGGAAGAGGUGGGACAGGGACUUUCACUUCUGGCAUUAGCUCAAGCAUACUUGGCUCAGAGUUGGUGAGAAGCAGAAUUCCCAGCCUCUAGCAGGCUCUGGCUGUAAUUUAAUAUCACGUGGUGUGUUAGAGAUUUGGCUUGUAUUUGCCUGACAGGCAGCUAGAAUGGGUUAAAAUAUGCUCCAUCCCUCAGGCAUGCAUCUGAGUUCCUUUGCAGAAGGGAUCAGGGUGCCAAGUUUGGGGCACACAUCUCCCUGUGGGUGAUGGCCCCUGGCAGCGUGUAGGCUAAAGAUGCCCCCCCAGACACCGUGGCUGUGUUUGCAGGUGCUUCUCUCUGAUACUGGGGCUCAGGGUUCUGCCUGGCAGUAAGAGGGUGGGAUCCUGCAUGGCCUCUGAAGGGAGGCAGCUAGCUGCUGCAUUUCACCAGGAGGAAUAUUUUUGCUUUGCAGUGUAAUGUGAAUGGAUUGUAAGUGAUGACUGUGGUUCUCUUUCACGCUCACAGUGCAAGAAUGGUCUUUUUUCUCUCUCUUUUUUCUUCCUUUGUGUGUCUGUGUAUGUUGCUUCUUCUAUCUCCGCCCCAGCAGCCAUUUCUCCUCCAGCAAUUCAGUUCCUUUGUUUCUCAUGCUUGCCAAGACUUUUUAUCAAUCUAGUAUUUCUUUGAACUUUUUCCAAAGUUUUUCUAGACUUUCCACCUUGAAUGAGCCUCAUGAAAAAAUCUAAACCCUUUUUUGGGGCAGAAUACUUCUUGUUCUUCUGAUCUUCUGGUGAUUUUUCUUUUUCUUUUUUUUUUUUUUUUAAUGAAUACUCACAAUGCUUUACAUAAAAACUAGGCUGACGUGCUGUAGGAAUUUACUGAGUAUUAUCUACUUAUUCCUGGCUUUGGGCCCAACUAAAGUCCCACUGAAGUCUUCUGUUGGCUGAGAGCAGUAAGGUCUAUUUGCAAACUGAAGAUACUCCGUGCUCUGCAUAACGUUGUAUCUCAGCAUCUCCCUCCUUCAGACACAUGUAUCUCAGCUGUCCCUCCUUGCACCCCUUGUCAUUUGUGAGUGACACAGUAUGGGGACACUUUGCCCACUUGAGUUGUGCAGCAGCUGUCAGUCUGUAAAGAAAAGAAGGAGCUGCAGCUGACAGUCACCUUCUGUUCCUGACUGUGUCCCCCUGUGCUCCAGCAGCUCCUGUGCUGCACGGUGUCAACAUUAAUGUUAUUCUGAGACCUGGUUCUGUUGCCACAAACAUGCAGAAGUGCUUUUCAAGUAACUUACCUCUGCUGGAACCCGUCUGCUACUUUACUGCUGGAUUUCUGUUACUUCUCCACUACCUUACUCUAUUUCAUCCUCUUCUCACUGCAGCAUGUGGGUUCAAACAGUUGUGCAGUGCAAACUACUCCAGAUUUAAACUCAAAGCAAAGCAAAAAGGUCCCCACCCUGAACUGAACUUGCCCCUUUAACACUGCAACGUGAAGCCUGGCUGGGAUCCAGCCUGGAGGCUUUCCUUGGAAUUACUCUUUAGGGCACAGAUUCCUGCAGAAAUAAUAGUAGGAUCCUGAUCAGCUGGGCUUUGCCAGGCAGCUGCAGUCCAGUGAAGACAUCUGCCCACUCCCCUCCUUUGGGCUUCUCUGGGGUUCUUGCAUAUAAGAAGGAGUGAGGGAAGCAGACAGAAAUACAACUGUGAUUCUAAAUCCUCCUGCUCCUUGAAGGAUGUAGGUGAAAUUGUUCAAGCUCUCAUUAUGGAAAAUGGAUAUCUUUGUUUCACGUGUUCAUUCUGUGGUGCUUCAUUAAAAGCUGGUUUAUUGUUGGACUCUGCUGGACUCUUACUGGGAAAAUUGCUGCUCUUGUUUUCUGGCCUGAUCCGGCUUCCCUUAGAGCUAAAAGAAAUCUGUUGUGCUCAGUGGGUAAAUGGCAAGGUAAGAACUGAUGCAAAACCAAAUGAUUGCUCUGAGUGAGCCAAUCCUCGACACUGAGAUCCCUUGUGCGAGCUAUAACUAAGGGCAAAAAGCACAUAAACAGAGCUGUUCAUUUCUAAUUUGAGCAACAAGGAGUCUGCCCACUUCUUACUGUCUGGCUCAGUAUGGCAAACAGGUGAGCCUGCCCACUUUGUUUUUCACUGGGAUAUGGCUGGUUUGCAGGGCCACCUCAGAACCAGGGCAUGUUUGUGCUGCUCCUCAUGGAGAAUGCUAUGUAGGGGCAUAUAUGCACGCACUGUUGCUAUUUACAGCAUCGCUGCCAAGUCAGUGUCUGAAACACUGCCUUUGACCUGGUUGGCAGAGCUGAUACAGAGUGGUACAUAUGGAUUGACACUGUGCUCCUGACUCUCUCACAGGCAAGGUCUCUGAGGCAGGAGUUAACUCAGGGCAAGGUCUUGUCUCAGACAUCUUGAUCCUGCUUUAUUUCAAUGAAUUUGCCAUUACGCUUUUCUAACCAGGGUGAAGUAGCCUCAAUUGUUAGUGUCGUCUCUGCUUUUAUUUAUUUAUUUAUGCAUUUUCUACAGGGAAUGAAGCAUUUAUUUCUGUUGUGCGGAAAGUCCGUCCAAAACUUGUCCGUAUUUCUGAUGCUGGAUCCAGUCCGUAAGCGAUUGCCAUUUCUCCAGUGAGCAGAGGGGACCGGAGGGAUUUCAGUUCUUGGAAUAUUACAAAGGUCGCUGACACUUGUCCUUGCCUCAACUUGGAGGCUGACCAGAUUCUGGAAUCAAGCUACUACUUCCACUCCACAUCCCGAGUGUGCAGCACUCUGGUAACUUUCUUGGGGAGCCUGGAGCAAAAAGAGGCAUGCGCAUACUGGAGAGAACCCAGUGAAGAGCCAUGAAGAUGAAGGGCCUGAAGUACCUCUCUUGUGAGGAGAGACUGAGAGAGCUGAGACUGUUCGGCCUGGAGAGUCUUAGAGGGGAAUUUUACCAAUGUACAUAAAUACCUGAAGGGAAGGUGCAAAGAUGAAGCCAGGCUCCUGUCAGUGGUGGUUAGUGCUAAGGUAAGAGGCAAUGGGCUUAAACUGAAACAUAGGAGUUCCCACUAACUGUCAGGAAGCACUUCUGUGGUGUGUAAACAAUGGAAAACAAUCUGCUCAGAGAGGCUGUGGAAUUUCUUCCUUGGAAAUCUUCAUCAUCCUCUGGACAUGGUCUUGGACACCUUGCUCUGAGUGUCCUUGCUUGGGCAGAUGUUGCAUCAAAUGGAUCUAGAGGUUCUUUCUAAUCUCAAAUAUUGUAUGAUUCUGGGAUCCUUGAUCACUGCUUUCCCGUGAUGAGUUAGGGCUUCUUUCCUUCAGUUCAUGCUGAAGGCUGAGUUUUUCAGGGCUUGUCAGUCAGACAGACUUUGAGGGAGGGAACAAGGGGUAGCAUGGCAGAAACAUGCUAGUGGAGCAAAACCAAUGUAGCUUUCACUGUUCUGGGGAUUUGGAGUGCUACUCUUUGAGGAACAGUAGAAGGAGUGGAAAGCUGUGCAA